GGACUUGCGGCAGCUACACAUGCAAGUCGAACGGUAGCACAGAGGAGCUUGCUCCUUGGGUGACGAGUGGCGGACGGGUGAGUAAUGUCUGGGAAACUGCCCGAUGGAGGGGGAUAACUACUGGAAACGGUAGCUAAUACCGCAUAACGUCGCAAGACCAAAGAGGGGGACCUUCGGGCCUCUUGCCAUCGGAUGUGCCCAGAUGGGAUUAGCUAGUAGGUGGGGUAACGGCUCACCUAGGCGACGAUCCCUAGCUGGUCUGAGAGGAUGACCAGCCACACUGGAACUGAGACACGGUCCAGACUCCUACGGGAGGCAGCAGUGGGGAAUAUUGCACAAUGGGCGCAAGCCUGAUGCAGCCAUGCCGCGUGUAUGAAGAAGGCCUUCGGGUUGUAAAGUACUUUCAGCGAGGAGGAAGGCGUUGUGGUUAAUAACCGCAGCGAUUGACGUUACUCGCAGAAGAAGCACCGGCUAACUCCGUGCCAGCAGCCGGGGUAAUACAA
rnacentral:rRNA from 1 species